UACGUAGGGCGCAAGCGUUAUCCGGAAUUAUUGGGCGUAAAGAGCUCGUAGGCGGUUUGUCGCGUCUGCCGUGAAAGUCCGGGGCUCAACUCCGGAUCUGCGGUGGGUACGGGCAGACUAGAGUGAUGUAGGGGAGACUGGAAUUCCUGGUGUAGCGGUGAAAUGCGCAGAUAUCAGGAGGAGCACCGAUGGCGAAGGCAGGUCUCUGGGCAUUAACUGACGCUGAGGAGCGAAAGCGUGGGGAGCGAACAGG
rnacentral:rRNA from 1 species